rnacentral:rRNA from 3 species
AAGGGCGCACGGUGGAUGCCUUGGCACUAGGAGCCGAUGAAGGACGGGACUAACACCGAUAUGCUUUGGGGAGCUGUAAGUAAGCUAUGAUCCAGAGAUUUCCGAAUGGGGGAACCCAAUAUCUUUUAUAGGAUAUUACUUUUCAGUGAAU